GAUAAACGCUAGCGGCAGGCUUAACACAUGCAAGUCGAGGGGCAGCAUAGAUUGUAGCAAUACAAUUGGUGGCGACCGGCGCACGGGUGCGUAACGCGUAUGCAACCUACCCGUCACAGGGGGAUAAUCCGGAGAAAUCUGGGCGAAUACCCCAUAACAUAUGGAUCGGCAUAGGUUCAUGUUGAAAUUUUCGGAGGUGACGGAUGGGCAUGCGUAGCAUUAGCUUGUUGGUGAGGUAACGGCUCACCAAGGCGACGAUGCUUAGGGGGACUGAGAGGUUUUCCCCCCACACUGGUACUGAGACACGGACCGGACUCCUACGGGAGGCAGCAGUGAGGAAUAUUGGUCAAUGGGCGCAAGCCUGAACCAGCCAUGCCGCGUGCAGGAUGACGGCUCUAUGAGUUGUAAACUGCUUUUGUACGAGGGUAAAGUGGGUUACGUGUAACCUUUUGAAAGUAUCGUACGAAUAAGGAUCGGCUAACUCCGUGCCAGCCGCCGCGGUAA
rnacentral:rRNA from 1 species